rnacentral:sRNA from 1 species
UUGCAGGAACAAAAUGUGACUGAGUGUAGUGAGUGUGUGACAGCCGUGUGAAGAAGCGUCCUCUCUCCCUCCCAGGAGGCACUGCCAGGCAGAGUUAAGGGAGUUUAAUGAGAAGCGCGUCUGCACUUGUGUGCUCGCCUAGACGCUGUUUCUCAGCAGUACAAGAGACCGCUGUCAUGUGGCCUGCAGACCAGUGUGGAACAGCUCUCUCCUCCACAUUAAUAAGACUCGCCUGAUAAGCACAGCCACACCAUGCCAAGUAAUAUCCUGUCCCCUUGCCGGAUACUGAUUGUCCCUGCCCUGGCUUCAUCGUCCUCUUACUCCUUCAAUUUCCUGCAGGCCCAAGAGCUCCCAGCUCCCACUCCCAGCCGCAGGCACUGCGAGCAAGACUGGCCGCCGGAUUCCAGCGAGGAGGGGCUCCUGCGGCCACGCUCCCCCUGCUCUGAUGGGAGAAGAGACGCCGCGGCCAGAGUCCUGCAGGCCCAGUGGAAGGUGUACAAGCACAAGAAAAAAAAGGCUGUUCUGGAUGAGGCAGCUGUGGUGCUUCAGGCAGCUUUCAGGGGACAUCUGGCGCGGACAAAGCUCUUAGCAAGCAAAGCACGUGGCUCAGAGCCACCCAGCGUGCCAGGCCUCCCAGACCAGAGCUCUCCCGUGCCCCGCGUUCCGAGCCCCAUCACCCAGGCCGAGGGCAGCCCUGUGCAGGAGGAGGCCAUCGUCAUCAUCCAGUCUGCUCUGCGGGCACACCUGGCCCGGGCCAGGCACAGCGCUACCG